UGCAUAUCAAUAAGCGCGGAGGAAAAGAAACCAACAGGGAUUGCCUUAGUAACGGCGAGUGAAGCGGCAAAAGCUCAAAUUUGAAAUCUGGCACCUUCGGUGUCCGAGUUGUAAUUUGAAGAAGGUAACUUUGGAGUUGGCUCUUGUCUAUGUUCCUUGGAACAGGACGUCACAGAGGGUGAGAAUCCCGUGCGAUGAGAUGCCCAAUUCUAUGUAAAGUGCUUUCGAAGAGUCGAGUUGUU
rnacentral:rRNA from 1 species